UGGGGGAUAUUGCACAAUGGAGGAAACUCUGAUGCAGCAACGCCGCGUGAGUGAAGAAGGCCUUCGGGUCGUAAAGCUCUGUCCUAGGGGAAGAUAAUGGCGGUACCCUAGGAGGAAACCCCGGCUAACUACGUGCCAGCAGCCGCGGUAAUACGUAGGGGGCGAGCGUUGUCCGGAAUUACUGGGCGUAAAGAGUUCGUAGGCGGUCUGAUAAGUCAGAUGUGAAAGGCGUAGGCUUAACCUAUGUAAGCAUAUGAAACUGUCAGACUUGAGGUAAGGAGAGGAAAGUGGAAUUCCUAGUGUAGCGGUGAAAUGCGUAGAUAUUAGGAGGAAUACCAGUGGCGAAGGCGACUUUCUGGACUUAAACUGACGCUGAGGAACGAAAGCGUGGGGAGCAAACA
rnacentral:rRNA from 1 species